AGCAGCCGCGGUAAUUCCAGCUCCAAUAGCGUAUAUUAAAGUUGUUGCAGUUAAAAAGCUCGUAGUUGAAUUUCAGGCCUGGCUGGACGGUCCGCCCUUCGGGUGAGUACUGUCUGUGGUCGGGUCCUACCUUCUGGCGAAGCGUCAUGGCCUUAACCGGCCGUGGCGGGGAACCAGGACUUUUACUGUGAAAAAUUAGAGUGUUCAAAGCAGGCAAUCGCUUGGAUACAUUAGCAUGGAAUAAUGGAAUAGGACAAUGGUUCUAUUUGUUGGUUUCUAGGACCGUUGUAAUGAUUAAUAGGGAUAGUUGGGGGCAUUAGUAUUCAAUUGUCAGAGGUGAAAUUCUUGGAUUUAUUGAAGACUAACUACUGCGAAAGCAUUUGCCAAGGAUGUUUUCAUUAAUCAAGAACGAAAGUUAGGGGAUCGAAGACGAUCAGAUACCGUCGUAGUCUUAACCAUAAACUAUGCCGA
rnacentral:rRNA from 1 species